rnacentral:rRNA from 1 species
CCAAUAGCGUAUAUUAAAGUUGUUGCAGUUAAAAAGCUCGUAGUUGAAUUUCGGGAUCAAUAUGUUGGUCGUGCCUAGGUAUGUACUGGCAUUAUUGGUUUCUCCCUUCUGAAGAACCACGAUGCCAUUAAUUUGGUGUCGUGGGGAAUCAGGACUGUUACUUUGGAAAAAUUAGAGUGUUUAAAGCAGGCUCGCGCUUGAAUACAUUAGCAUGGAAUAAUGAAAUAGGACGUUUGAUUCUAUUUUGUUGGUUUCUAGGAUCGACGUAAUGAUUAAUAGGGAUAGUUGGGGGCAUUAGUAUUCAAUUGUCAGAGGUGAAAUUCUUGGAUUUAUUGAAGACUAACUACUGCGAAAGCAUUUGCCAAGGAUGUUUUCAUUAAUCAAGAACGAAAGUUAGGGGAUCGAAGACGAUCAGAUACCGUCGUAGUCUUAACCAUAAACUAUGCCGACUAGGGAUCGGAUGGUGUUAAUUUUUUAAUGACUCAUUCGGCGCCUUACG